rnacentral:rRNA from 1 species
GCGGAAAGCGGCGGACGGGUGAGUAACGCGUAGGCAACCUGCCCUUUGCAGAGGGAUAGCCUCGGGAAACCGGGAUUAAAACCUCAUAAUACUGCAAAUUCACAUGUAAUUGCAGUCAAAGAUUUAUCGGCAAAGGAUGGGCCUGCGUCUGAUUAGUUAGUUGGUGGGGUAACGGCUCACCAAGGCGAUGAUCAGUAGCCGACCUGAGAGGGUGAUCGGCCACAUUGGAACUGAGACACGGUCCAAACUCC